AUAAUUAUCCUAAGGAGGCUUACUAUUCAGCUGAUAAAUCAGGUGAGCCAGCCAUGAUCACUAAACUCACCAAACCAGCAGCAUAUGAAAAUUUGAAUCAUAGGUUUCUAUAUGCUUAAGGAAAAUGGGAUUUGCAGAGUAGGAUACGAAAGUUUAUUUAUAUACAAUGGAAAGCCCCUAUAAUCCAUGGACGACCAGUGGAGUUCAUAAAAGAAACCAAAGAAAGGUCCGCGACAAAGCUGUCCCCUCUCUCCAUAUCUCUACUUACUGGCUGGGUGCAGAUAACACUGUAAUAAUAACAAAGCCAGAUAGAGAUACUGUUCGUUCAGAAUUGAUUCAGAUGGCGAGGACCCACGGAAAAAUCCACCUUAUU
rnacentral:lncRNA from 1 species